UACAGAGGGGGCAAGCGUUGUUCGGAAUUACUGGGCGUAAAGGGCGCGUAGGUGGCCUUCUAAGUCGAACGUGAAAUCCCCGGGCUCAACCCGGGAACUGCGUCCGAUACUGGAAGGCUUGAAUCCGGGAGAGGGAUGCGGAAUUCCAGGUGUAGCGGUGAAAUGCGUAGAUAUCUGGAGGAACACCGGUGGCGAAGGCGGCAUCCUGGACCAAUACUGACGCUGAGGAGCGAAAGCCAGGGGAGCAAACGGG
rnacentral:rRNA from 1 species